GUAGUCGUGGCCGAGUGGUUAAGGCGAUGGGCUUGAAAUCCAUUGGGGUCCCCCCACGCAGGUUCAAAUCCUGCCGACUACG